rnacentral:lncRNA from 1 species
CUUCGUUUGCACUAGCUGGACUGAAAAGGUCAAAGUUUUUAACUCACUUCUGUACAAUUACAAACUGUUAACCACUAAUAAUCUUUGGAAGAAAGGCAUCCUUGGACUUUCUUUUUGCCCACUUUGCUCAGUCCAUCAAGAAUCUCAAGAUCAUUUGUUCCUUAAUUGUGUUUACUCUAUGCAGCUCUGGGUUUAUUUUUUGAACAUUAGUGGCCUAUAUGUCCCUAAGAAAGUUUCAGACUAUUAGGAUUUUCAUAG